CCCCCCUGGCUAUAAGCAAAGAGACACCUUGGUGGUGGUGGCGUUCUUCUAUCAGUCAGGGGCGGCGCAGAUGACAGUCCUUUGUUCAUGGCUUUGUUCAUGGCUUGAUGCCUGGCUUGGUGGCCAACUCCAUCUUAUGCUUAGAACUCAUAA
rnacentral:snoRNA from 1 species